AGAGUUUGAUCCUGGCUCAGAAUGAACGUUGGCGGCGUGCCUAACACAUGCAAGUCGAGCGAGAAAGUCCUUCGGGAUGGGUAAAGCGGCGAACGGGUGAGUAAUGCAUAAGAAUCUACCUUUUAGUGAAGAAUAUCUUUGGGAAACUAAAGUUAAUACUGCAUACGUCCCUUUGGGGAGAAAGAUGGCCUCUUGCUGUCGCUAAAAGAUGAGCUUAUGUUCUAUUAGCUAGUUGGUAGGGUAAAGGCCUACCAAGGCGAUGAUGGAUAGCCGGCCUGAGAGGGUGUACGGCCACAUUGGAACUUAGACACGGUCCAGACUCCUACGGGAGGCAGCAGUGAGGAAUAUUGCACAAUGGGCGAAAGCCUGAUGCAGCGACGCCGCGUGGAGGAUGACGGUUUUCGGAUUGUAAACUCCUGUUAAGUGGGAAAAAAGACUCGCUAUGAAUAAGAGCGGGGGAUGAUGGUACCACUAGAGAAAGCACCGGCUAACUUCGUGCCAGCAGCCGCGGUAAUACGAGGGGUGCAAACGUUAUUCGGAAUCAUUGGGCGUAAAGGGUGCGUAGACGGCAGAUUAAGUCGAUUAUUAAAUCUUCUGGCUUAACCAGAAGUUUGUGGUCGAGACUGAUUUGCUAGAGGAUGGAAGAGAGAAGUGGAAUUCUCGGAGUAGCGGUGAAAUGCGUAGA
rnacentral:rRNA from 1 species